CCUUAUACGAUGAUUACUCACGAUGAGUGUCCACACAGAUUGAUACGGUUUAUAAAGUAAAAGAGAUAGGACAUCUCCCAAGAUGUUCAACUUAGUGUCCCGUUCGUCUAGAGGCCUAGGACACCGCCCUUUCACGGCGGUAACAGGGGUUCGACUCCCCUACGGGAUACCAUCUUUAAACAUUCUCUCUUGAGAGUUUUUAAAAAUGGUUACUUCAUAAGAAGUGAUUAGCUCUUUAACAAUUUGGAAAGCUGACAAAACAAUCUUUAAGAUUGUUUGUAAAGUUCUCAAAGUAUUCUUAAUUGAAUACUCCAAACAACACAUUCAAGUGUUCUUGGGUUUUGCGAAAGCAAAACAUAUUUGAGUCCGGCAAAAUCGAAAGCUAUCUCGCUCAUUCAAAUAAUGAGAUAGCAACUUUGGUUGUUUAACUUCAAUUCGAAACUCCUUCGGGUUGUAU
rnacentral:tRNA from 1 species